rnacentral:rRNA from 1 species
AGCGAACGCUGGCGGCAGGCCUAACACAUGCAAGUCGAACGAACCUUUCGGGGUUAGUGGCGGACGGGUGAGUAACACGUGGGAACGUGCCUUUAGGUUCGGAAUAACUCAGGGAAACUUGUGCUAAUACCGAAUGUGCCCUUCGGGGGAAAGAUUUAUCGCCUUUAGAGCGGCCCGCGUCUGAUUAGCUAGUUGGUUGAGGUAAUGGCUCACCAAGGCGACGAUCAGUAGCUGGUCUGAGAGGAUGAUCAGCCACAUUGGGACUGAGACACGGCCCAAACUCCUACGGGAGGCAGCAGUGGGGAAUCUUGCGCAAUGGGCGAAAGCCUGACGCAGCCAUGCCGCGUGAAUGAUGAAGGUCUUAGGAGUGUAAAAUUCUUUCACCGGGGACGAUAAUGACGGUACCCGGAGAAGAAGCCCCGGCUAACUUCGUG